GAGUAACGCGUAGGUGACCUACCCCGUAGUGUGGAAUAACUGCCCGAAAGGGUAGCUAAUACCGCAUGUUGAGCCGACAUCAAUGUCGUCUCCAAAGCAGCAAUGCGCUAUGGGCGGGGCCUGCGUUCGAUUAGCUAGUUGGUGAGGUAAUGGCUCACCAAGGCGAUAAUCAAUAGCUGAUUUGAGAGGAUGAUCAGCCACACUGGGACUGAGAUACGGCCCAGACUCC
rnacentral:rRNA from 1 species